GUACACAAAAAUGCACAUAUUGUGAGCUCGAUGAGUAGGGCGGGACACGUGGUAUCCUGUCUGAAUAUGGGGGGACCAUCCUCCAAGGCUAAAUACUCCUGACUGACCGAUAGUGAACCAGUACCGUGAGGGAAAGGCGAAAAGAACCCCGGCGAGGGGAGUGAAAAAGAACCUGAAACCGUGUACGUACAAGCAGUGGGAGCCUCUUAAUGGGGUGACUGCGUACCUUUUGUAUAAUGGGUCAGCGACUUAUAUUCUGUAGCAAGGUUAACCGAAUAGGGGAGCCGAAGGGAAACCGAGUCUUAACUGGGCGUUAAGUUGCAGGGUAUAGACCCGAAACCCGGUGAUCUAGCCAUGGGCAGGUUGAAGGUUGGGUAACACUAACUGGAGGACCGAACCGACUAAUGUUGAAAAAUUAGCGGAUGACUUGUGGCUGGGGGUGAAAGGCCAAUCAAACCGGGAGAUAGCUGGUUCUC
rnacentral:rRNA from 1 species